GGUGAGAUGGCCGAGCGGUCUAAGGCGCCAGACUAAGGAUCAGCUUCAUCUGAAGCCGAAUUUGCAGAGCAAUCUGUAAUCUGGUCCUCCGGGGCGUGGGUUCGAAUCCCACUCUCAUCA